UGACGACGGGUAACUAUCCGACCACUAGUGACGACAGCUCUCCUUGAUGCGUAGGUAGGGAAGGCGGGGGUCGAUGGAGCGAACGAGGUGCGUAGCAGAAACUUCCUCUCCUUCUACUGCUCGCAUACCUUCUGGUUCCAAGAGGGGCCCGAGUUGUUCUAGAAGCUGUUCCUACCGUUCUUCCGGCGGAGGCGGCUCAAGAACUUUAGGAAGUUGUUCCUCCUCUAACUGUUCCUCUAACUCCUGUUCUUCUGUCUUGAUCUCGGGUUCCAACACCUCUGGUAACUUCGUAGAGGAGGUCUUUAAUUCCCGAACUAUUUCCUAUUCUUUUGUAGGUUCUAGUUCUUCUUGAGUCAACGGCAGUGGUUCAAGGAACUGCUAAACCGGUUCUAACUAAAGGGGCCUCGGUUCGACCACUCGCUGCGCCACCGGUUCAGGCCGUGGUGCGGGGAGAGGGGCCGGUAGCAGAAGUAGAACCUGUUCCAACGCGGGAAGCAGGGUCGCGGGUUUCUCCUCGGGUUCCGGCUCGGGCUCCUGCGGCGGGGCCGUCUCCUCUGGUGGUGGGCGCUCCAGCGGCACCUCCUCUUCUUCCUCCUUCGGCUCGGGAGGCGGCGUGGCCGUCUUCGCCGGCGCGGCCACCUCCGUCGGCGCGGGCGACGACUCCAUCACCUCCUCUUCUUUCUCCUCCUCUUUGGGCGCCUUCGGCGGCGUGGACGGCGGCUCCUCGGUCUCUUCUUCACUAGCCAGCGGCGGCCGGCCUCAGGUUCUCGUUGGGUUCGAUGGUGGAUCGAACGACGACCAUUACUUUUGUAAAAUUCAAUAACACUUAAACACCAGCGAGAGACACAGUUCCAUCGACGUGUUUUCAUUCGUGCAUGCAUGCAUGUGACGUGAACGGUACGUAUGGUGCGUACGUUUGCAUGUGCGUACCUUGUAAACAAUAAGAAAGCUACCUGGCCAGAGGAGUGGCAUACACAUGUAAAAUGCACCCCGAAAGAACGAAAAAACACCACCAAUUUUGGACACAUUAAUACUAAUAUAACCACACAAUUAAACAACCAGUACCAUAUUCGUCCUUGAACACGUAAGAAGG
rnacentral:rRNA from 1 species